rnacentral:rRNA from 1 species
UACGUAGGGGGCUAGCGUUGUCCGGAAUCAUUGGGCGUAAAGCGCGUGUAGGCGGCCCGGUAAGUCCGCUGUGAAAGUCGGGGGCUCAACCUCGGAUGCCGGUGGAUACUGUCGGGCUCGAGUACAGAAGGGGCAACUGGAAUUCUCGGUGUAGCGGUGAAAUGCGUAGAUAUCGAGAGGAACACCUGCGGCGAAGGCGGGUUGCUGGGCUGAUACUGACGCUGAGGCGCGAAAGCCAGGGGAGCGAACGGG